GAUGAACGCUGGCGGCGUGCCUAAUACAUGCAAGUCGAGCGAAUGGAUUAAGAGCUUGCUCUUAUGAAGUUAGCGGCGGACGGGUGAGUAACACGUGGGUAACCUGCCCAUAAGACUGGGAUAACUCCGGGAAACCGGGGCUAAUACCGGAUAAUAUUUUGAAUUGCAUGGUUCAAAAUUGAAAGGCGGCUUCGGCUGUCACUUAUGGAUGGACCCGCGUCGCAUUAGCAAGUUGGUGAGGUAACGGCUCACCAAGGCAACGAUGCGUAGCCGACCUGAGAGGGUGAUCGGCCACACUGGGACUGAGACACGGCCCAGACUCCUACGGGAGGCAGAAGUAGGGAAUCUUCCGCAAUGGACGAAAGUCUGACGGAGCAACGCCGCGUGAGUGAUGAAGGCUUUCGGGUCGUAAAACUCUGUUGUUAGGGAAGAACAAGUGCUAGUUGAAUAAGCUGGCACCUUGACGGUACCUAACCAGAAAGCCACGGCUAACUACGUGCCAGCCGCCGCGGUAA
rnacentral:rRNA from 1 species